rnacentral:rRNA from 1 species
CCUACGGGAGGCAGCAGUGGGGGAUAUUGCACAAUGGGCGCAAGCCUGAUGCAGCGACGCCGCGUGAGGGAAGACGGUCUUCGGAUUGUAAACCUCUGUCUUCGGGGACGAUAAUGACGGUACCCGAGGAGGAAGCUCCGGCUAACUACGUGCCAGCAGCCGCGGUAAUACGUAGGGAGCAAGCGUUGUCCGGAAUUACUGGGUGUAAAGGGAGCGUAGGCGGGAAGGCAAGUUGAAUGUUUAAUCUAUGGGCUCAACCCAUAUCAGCGUUCAAAACUGCUUUUCUUGAGUGAAGUAGAGGUUGGCGGAAUUCCUAGUGUAGCGGUGAAAUGCGUAGAUAUUAGGAGGAACACCAGUGGCGAAGGCGGCCAACUGGGCUUUUACUGACGCUGAGGCUCGAAAGCGUGGGGAGCAAACAGGAUUAGAUACCCCAGUAGUC